CGUAGGGUGCGAGCGUUAAUCGGAAUUACUGGGCGUAAAGCGUGCGCAGGCGGCUUUGCAAGUCAGACGUGAAAGCCCCGGGCUUAACCUGGGAAUGGCGUUUGAAACUACGGAGCUGGAGUGUGGCAGAGGGGGGUGGAAUUCCACGUGUAGCGGUGAAAUGCGUAGAUAUGUGGAGGAACACCGAUGGCGAAGGCAGCCCCCUGGGCCAACACUGACGCUCAUGCACGAAAGCGUGGGGAGCAAACAGGAUUAGAUACCCUGGUAGUCCACGCCCUAAACUAUGUCAACUAGUUGUUGGGGGAGUUAAAUCCCUUAGUAACGCAGCUAACGCGUGAAGUUGACCGCCUGGGGAGUACGGUCGCAAGAUUA
rnacentral:rRNA from 1 species